AGCGAACGCUGGCGGCAGGCCUAACACAUGCAAGUCGAACGAACCUUUCGGGGUUAGUGGCGGACGGGUGAGUAUCACGUGGGAACGUGCCUUUAGGUUCGGAAUAACUCAGGGAAACUUGUGCUAAUACCGAAUGUGCCCUCCGGGGGAAAGAUUUAUCGCCUUUAGAGCGGCCCGCGUCUGAUUAGCUAGUUGGUUGAGGUAAUGGCUCACCAAGGCGACGAUCAGUAGCUGGUCUGAGAGGAUGAUCAGCCACAUUGGGACUGAGACACGGCCCAAACUCCUACGGGAGGCAGCAGUGGGGAAUCUUGCGCAAUGGGCGAAAGCCUGACGCAGCCAUGCCGCGUGAAUGAUGAAGGUCUUAGGAUUAUAAAAUUCUUUCACCGGGGACGAUAAUGACGGUACCCGGAGAAGAAGCCCCGGCUAACUUCGUGCCAGCCGCCGCAGUAA
rnacentral:rRNA from 1 species